rnacentral:rRNA from 1 species
AAUGAACGUUGGCGGCGUGGAUUAGGCAUGCAAGUCGUACGGUGGUUUCCUUUCGGGGAGGCCAUAGUGGCGAAAGGGAGAGUAACGCGUGGUUACAUGCCCUCGAGACCGGGAUAGCGGCGGGAAACUGCCGGUAAUACCGGAUAAUAUCUUUGGAUCAAAGGUGUGAUUCCGCUCGAGGAUUGGACCGCGUUCUAUUAGCUUGUUGGCGGGGUAAUGGCCCACCAAGGCGACGAUGGAUACCGGGUGUGAGAGCAUGGCCCGGCUCACUGGGACUGAGACACUGCCCAGACACCUACGGGUGGCUGCAGUCGAGAAGCUUCGGCAAUGGGGGCAACCCUGACCGAGCGACGCCGCGUGCGGGACGAAGGCCUUCGGGUUGUAAACCGCUGUCAGUUGGGAGGAAGGCCCGGUGCAGAGCCGGGUUUGACCUAGCCUCAGAGGAAGUGUGGGCUAAGUCCGUGCCAGCAGCCGCCGUAA